AUACGGAGGGUGCGAGCGUUAAUCGGAAUUACUGGGCGUAAAGCGCGCGUAGGCGGUCUAUUAAGUCAGAUGUGAAAUCCCAGGGCUCAACCUUGGAACUGCAUCUGAUACUGGUAGACUAGAGUUUUGGAGAGGGAAGUAGAAUUUCAGGUGUAGCGGUGAAAUGCAUAGAGAUCUGAAGGAAUACCAGUGGCGAAGGCGACUUCCUGGCCAAAAACUGACGCUGAGGUGCGAAAGCGUGGGUAGCAAACGGGAUUAGAAACCCCAGUAGUCC
rnacentral:rRNA from 1 species